UAGGUCAUCUGUUUUCUGCACUUCUCAGAUCUUAAUCCCUACUUGGGUUUGGUUCUAUUUUGUUGCAGAGAUCGAAAUCCCAAAGAAAAGCGAUGGCGACCUCGAUCUAGGUUUUCUUCUCCACCCUCCUUUGCAUCGUCUUCUUAUCCUCCAAGUUGCCUUUGUACGAAGAUGAAGUUGGGGUCAUGGACUGGAUUAUCAUUGCUAGCUGCUUCCCGUUUAUCUUUCCCUACUUGUUACCGCGGUUGCAUUCUCUCCUUGAAAAUGAACAAGGCAAUGAUUUCCAUCAAAACACAACCAACAGAAUCAGGAUACCAACAAGAAAAGGUGAACAUCAAUGCAGAUGAUCUUUUCCAACAGAAACGCAGUAUUCGGUCCAAAUUGAGAAGGCAGUUGAGGGCUAUGAACCCUUCAUUAAGACAUGAAGAAGAUUGUGCUAUCCAGAAGAUAGUAUUGGACUCCCCAUGGUUUAAAUCUUCUACUAGUUUGUGCGCAUAUAUAAGCUGUGCAAGUUUAUUUGAAGUUGACACAUCACAAAUUAUAUCCGAAGUUCUCUCAUCUUAUGCUGAUCAAAAUUCUCAUAUGCAGAAGAGCCUAUAUGUGCCACGUGUGGAGAACAAAAAAAGCUUUAUGCGGAUGCUGAAAAUUACAAAUAGAGAAGAUCUAAUUGAAAAUUCCAUGAAUAUUUUGGAACCAUCAGCAAUUGAUAGUUCUGGCAUUGAGCGACAGGAUGUUAUGCAGGCCCAACACCCGGUUGACCUUUUCAUAUUACCUGGAUAUGCUUUUGAUAGAUCUGGAAGACGGCUGGGACGUGGAGGAGGCUACUAUGAUUGUUUUCUUGCAAAUUACAUGGAGCUUGCUUCAAGGAAAGGCUGGCGGCAGCCUCUUCUUGUUGCACUGGCAUACUCCAUCCAGAUAGUUGAUGAUCCUAUUCCUGUAACUCCAACUGAUAUUCAUGUGGAUGCAAUUGCAUCUCCAGCCGGUGUCCUGCAGAUCAGCUCUGCUGCUAUGGAGAGAAUGUGAGAGGUGGUAGUGGUGCUUGUUCAUGUCGGAUGGUUGUACUUGCCAAACAAAAGAAUGACCUCUCUUGGAAAUGAAAGCUCACCUGCGUUACUCGCAGAGUUGAAUUUUAUUCUCAAGUACACUCGGGUUGUUUGUACAAAUGACCCAGAAGGGCAAGGCAACUUCAGUUUUUUCUGAAGGGCGAUUGCAGAUUACCUGGCUAAUACCAGCACGUUAAAUGCGUUGCUAGCAAGAGAGGCCAGAAUUGCAUUGUGGGAAGCUUGGAGGGGUUGAUUGACAAUGGAAAUCAAAAUUUGGAAGGACAAACCUGUGGACUAGUUUUGCAAGCGUUUGUAAUUGGGCUCUGCCUAGCCCCAUCUUGCCAAUCGAGAGAGUUGUGAAAAGAAAAAAUAAUGAAGGGUUUGCCCAUCAAAACAACUAUUCUUAAUACAUUUUGGUUGACAUUAGAAUAACGUUUCUCCUCGUUUUGUCAAUAUGUCUUGGAUUUGAAGGAUAUAUGAUCCCGUACCAUUCUAGAAAAAGUCAGACAUAAAAAAAAAAAAAUCCAAUUAAGAAAUCGAUUUGGAUUUAUAUUUAAGAAAUGACAUCUGAUCGGAUUUGGAUUCUA